AGAUAUAACAAACUGACCCUUGCCCCCCGACACAUAAACUACUGCAGCAUAAAUACUGGAGGCUGAGACAGGAGGGGUCAGGAGACACUGUGGCCCCAUCCGAUGACACCCCCGGACAGGGCCAAACAGGAAGGAUAUAACCCCACCCACUUGUCUCAUUGCUACAACUCCCGUACGGGCUUGGGAGAGACGAAGGUCGAGAGCCAUGCGUCCUCCGAAACACAACCCAACCAAGCUGGAGGAAACACCGUACACCUAGCGACCUGGUCAGUGUGCACUGCGCCCGGCCCACCACAGGCGUCGCUAGUGCGCGAUGAGACAAGGACAUCCCUACCAGCCAAACCCUCCCUAACCCGGACAACGUUAGGCCAAUUGUGCGUCGUCCCGUGGACCUCCCGGUCGCGGCCGGCUGCUACAGAGCUCGAACCCAGAGUCUCUGGUGGCACAGCUAGCGAUGCAGUGCCACCCGGGAGGCCCCCCUAUCCACCUUUCAUGCAGAAUGGCUCCCGGCUCCAUCAUCAUCUUUCAGUCCUGCCUAAAAACCCACCUCUUCACCAUGGCCUACCCUUACCUCCCCCUCCACCAUUCCCACACACACCUCUUCUGUUUCACACACUCGCACACACACUCACCUGCUGUCUCACUCACAUACUCACACAUCACACCCUUUCCAGUUACACCCCCAUCCUCAACCAAGUUGAACCCCCAAUAAUCCCCACCAGCCAGAAGACCAGCUACACUAUCCUCAACCAGGUUAAACCCCCAAUAACCCCCACCGCCCAGGACACCAGCUACACCCAAAACCAAAGAAGACGGGGAGAAAGUCCUGUCACCCUGUCACUCUCAAAAAAAACUCCAACUCGCUGAGUAUGACACAGCCAACCCCAUCCAACCCCGACCAAGGAAGAGGAAAUAUGACUAAAAUGCAAAAAUAGUGUCCAGUGCACCAGGGGCAAGCAAUUUUCCCUAUUCUCAAGAUUCUUGCCAAUAGAACUUCAAAGGAGUGGCAAGAAAUGGGACGAUGACUGGAUCAAGGCCGAGGACCGGGUUUCUCAAGUUUAACCUACUUUAUGCACAAAUUUAUUCCUCACUCUCCCUUCACAUGUAUCCCUGUUAAUCAUAAAUGGUUGGCCAAAUUUGCCAUGAUUUACCAUUGAAACAUUCAUGGAGCAUCACAAUGCCAACCAUUUGAUCUCAAUCAGUUUCAUGAGAAUAUACAUUUAGAUAUUGUUGAUUCAAAGUGAGCUACACUUUGUAUUUGAAAAUAUACAAUGACUAUAAGGUUAGUGCAGUCUAUCAGCUUUAAUUUGAGGGUAUUUUGAUCCAUAUCUGGUGAACUGUUUAGAAAUUACAGCACGUUUUGUGGUCCCCCAUUUUAGGGGACCAAAAGUAUUGUGAUAUUAAUUUAUAUGUUUAUUAAAGUAGUCAGAA